rnacentral:rRNA from 1 species
GACGAACGCUGGCGGCGUGCUUAACACAUGCAAGUCGAACGCAGUGGGGACGGGUGAGUAACACGUGGGUAACCUCCCAUCAGAGGGGAUAACACUUGGAAACAGGUGCUAAACCGAUCCUGAUGGAUGGACCCGCGUGGCAUUAGCUAGUGGGGGGGGUAACGGCUCAACAAGGCCACGAUGCAUAGCCGAGCUGAGAGGGUGAUCGGCCACACGUGGACUGAGACACGGCCCGACCUCCAACGGGAGGCAGCAGUAGGGAAUCUUCGGCAAUGGAAGAAAGUCUGACCGAGCAACGCCGCGUGAGUGAAGGAGGUUUUCGGAUCGUAAAACUCUGUUGUUAGAGAAGCGGUAUCUAACCAGAAAGCCACGGCUAACUACGUGCCAGCAGCCGCGGUAAUAC